rnacentral:misc_RNA from 1 species
AAAAGAACAAGGAUGUUACAGAAGCAAUUCAAAAGGUUGCUGCAUCUUAUGACUGCAAAAUUGUCGAAGGUGUUCUUAGCCAUCAGCUGAAGCAGUUUGUGAUUGAUGGGAAUAAGGUUGUAUUGAGUGUUGCCAAUCCUGAGACAAGGGUUGAUGAGGCAGAAUUUGAGGAGAAUGAGGUGUAUUCAAUAGAUAUAGUUACAAGCACAGGAGAAGGAAAGCCUAAGUUGUUGGAUGAGAAGCAGACAACUAUUUAUAAGAGAGCUGUGGACAGGAACUAUCAUUUAAAGAUGAAAGCCUCUAGAUUUAUUUUCAGUGAAAUAACUCAGAAGUUUCCUAUAAUGCCUUUCACAG